AGGGUUUGACAUCCCGUGAAUCUUAUCGAAAGAUGAGAGUGCCUUCGGGAGCACGGUGAC
rnacentral:rRNA from 1 species